CCUUUUUAUGUUUUAUUUUGAGAUAGAUUCUCUCCAAGUUGCCUAGGGACUUGCUAAGUUGCUGGCUCUGAACUUGUGAUCCUCUUGCCUCAGCCUCCCGAGCUGCUGGGAUUACAGCUGUGUGUCACCACGCCUGGCACGCUCCUCAGUUAGUGCCUGACCAUGUCCACUGGAGGGCUGUGUAGAUAGGUACCCAGGGUGAAGAGGACGGAGGGAUAGCAGAGUGACACCAGAUGCAGCCAGACCCUAAAUACAGAGGUGGCCUACUGGGACAUGAGGCUAGGUCACGUGUGGUUCGUGCCACUCCUUGGAUGGCCUCGUCCUGUGUUCCCUGAUGUCCUCUCUGGCUCUAUCUUGGUUGCUGACUUUCUUCCGUUUCCCCCAGUGGAUGGUAAACCAAGGGCUUGCUUCUUUCUAGAUCCAGCACAGAUUCUCUUCUCAGCCUGAACCUUUGGGCGUUGGGACAAAUGAAAGGUGUUUUUUUUUUUUUUUUUCUUGCAGUGCUGGGGAUCAAACCCAGGGCCUCGUGCUUGUUAGAGCACAUCCGAGCUACACGUGCACCCCAGAUGUGUUUUCUUGUCUUUUUCUCUAACCAAUGCAGUAUAACGACGAUUUAUGUAGCAUUUGCAUGAUAUUAAGCAUUAUAACCAUCUGGAGAUGAUUUAAAGUCUGUAGGAGGAUGUUCUCAGGUUGUAUGUAAAUACUCGGCCAUUUUACACAAGAGACUUGAGCAUCUGGGGAUUUGGGGUUCUGACGGGUCCUGGAACCAAUCUUUCAUGGAUCCUGAGAGAUGACUGAAAUAAUAUGGAAAUUAUAUGUGUAUACAGUUAUACGUAGUAUAUAUGUAUAUAAAUGACACAUUGCAUUAUAUAUGUAUAUAAACUAUAUAGACAUAUACGUGUGUGUUUCAUGCCGGGCGUGGAACCCAGGGCUUUACACAGGCUGAGCCCGCUUUCUACCACUGAGAUAGAGAGCCAGGGUCUUGUAAUCUCCACAUGGGAAACUCCAUGGGCACGUCAGACUUGGGUUACUCCGAAGCAAACAGGGUGGCUGUGACUCAAGACGGAUGCCAUCAGGUCAAGCUGGGUACUUUUAAGCAAACACAGCUGCAGGCAGGAUUGAGUUAGGAAGUCACAAUAUUUCCAUAAGACAAAGCAGUGGACUGAGAAAGACAUAAUGCUGGGGACGGAACCGGCCCCCUCCCACCACACAAGCUUAGCUUCCACAUACGGGAGAAAACAUACAGGACUUCUCUUUCUGGUUCGCUUUAACGUGCUAGUCUCUAGUUCCAUCCAUUUUCCAGCCAGUGACAGGCUUUUGUUAUUCUUUAUGGCUGAAUUAAACCCCCUUGUGUAUAUGCACCUCGUUUUCUUUCUCCACCCAUCUGUUGAUGGACACCUAGGCUGGCGCCAUAACGGGGUCUUAGCUGGUGAUUGUGGGUGUGCAGUGAUAAUCACGGUACGGAGGUAUCUCUGAAGCAUGCCUUUAAUUCUUUCGGGUAAAUCCCAAGGACUGGGAGAGCUGGGGCCCGUGAUAGUUGUACUCUAGUUCUUUGAGGAACCUCCAUACUGAUUCCCAUAGCCUGCUCCACUACUUUAUGUGUGAAUUCUGCAGAGAGCCUGGCAGCGGGUGCUCACUUCUGCCCACGCCACCUUCAGAAGGGCUGGGGCUGAUGUGGGCUGGUCUCCCUCCAGCCUCCACCACAGGGUCUUGGCUUGUGUCCCAGCUGCGGGCCCAGAGUCAGGAUCCAAAUCACGACUGGGGUGCAGCUCAGUGGUGGCAUCUGGGCAGCAUGUGCGGGGUCCUGUGUGUUCCCCAGCACCACAAAAUACUGCUUGAGUUGGUGCCAUGAGCAAGAUUGCAGUCAGCAGGGAGCUUGCCGACAGCCAUUCCUGGGUUUUGACCACACCAGGAAAACCUUUUCCCCUUGGAGAAGCUCCCGCUGACACCCAGACAGAGAGGCCUCCUGGAGGGAGUGCCUGCAUGGCGGGGGAGGGCGCAGGUUGGAAAGGGGAAGAGGAACCCAUGGGGAGGGGUGGAGGCCCCCUGCAGUGAGUUCUGACGUGAACAGAGGGAAAACAUCAUUCGGGGUGUUCCCUUUUACCUUCAAAGGAGGAGGGCAUUGCUCUGUGUUUUCAUCUAAUCCUCUCCCCCAGCUGCUAAUUAGGGUGAUUUCAUCUUUGAGCUGCUCUAGAGGCCCUUGGACUGUUCUUGGAGGCUGCUUUGAAAUCUGCCCAUUGGGAAACGUGGCUCUGCUGGAGAGAUGGCCCCCAGAGGCUGUGGCUCUGAGCAGAACAGGGAUCCACCCUGACACCAGGGGCUCCCUUAGACUGGCAGCAACUGCAGCGUCCAGAGCACCCUUCUGGUAGAAAGACAUUAGCAGGGAUGGUUUCUCUUUUUAAAAACACAUCCCUGUGACUUAGGGACAAAACAGUGUCAAAUACUGUGCUGGUGUGACACAGCACUAGCCUGCCCGAAGGUGAGGGUCCCCUCUGCACCCGAUUCUUGUGAUCAUACAAGAAAGAUUUUGGACAUGUACCAGGCAUGAGUUCAUUGAAGGGAUAGGAAAAGGGGAGAGGGAGAGAGUGGGUCCUCUCAGAGCAAAAUGGCAGGCCCCUCCUUCCCUCCAGUGUUAAUUGAGGAUCCCAGGGGAACUUCCAGAGCAUGUGCCCAGGUCUGCCUUGUGACUUUUUUUUUGUUUUUGGUGCAGGGGAUGGAACCCAAGGCCUUGUGCAGGAGGCAAGCACUCUACCAACUGAGCUGUGUCCCCAGCCCUGCCUCCUGACUCUUGACUGACAGCAGGAUGACAUCAGACUUUCAAGUCCCUACUGUCCAGGUCCAGGACAGCUCUAGGUCUCUUUGGCCCAUGCCGACUGGGCCAAAUUAGAACAAUUGGAAUCUGUUCUGACCGAUUUUAUGGUUAGGGGAGAAUUGUCCUUGUCUCCCCAAGUUGUGGGAUCUGGUCUGUGUGUGGGUCACAGAGGUCACCUCUUUGGGGUAUCUUGUGUUCUUCUUACCAAUAUUUUGGGCCUGCAUUUUUCAUGCCGAUGACAGAUUAUUUGUGGAAGAAUGUGAUAUAUCCUGUUGACUUAAGCCAGGCAGGGCUGCAGGUAAGUUUCGAAAGAGAGAAGAGAAAGAAAAGAGGAAAAGAGGCAGGCACGCAUGUGGGGGUCAGCACAGGGGCCCAGUUUAUAGAGCCAUUCCCUUAACCUCCCUUCCCACCACUCACAGCUGGACUUCUGUCGCCAACAUCUACAAUACACGUUCGGUGCCUUGUGAAUGCAGGUGGGAUGUGUUCCAGAAGCAUCUCCAGGCAGGAAGAAGGAGGGACGCAGAGGCUCCUAACUCCAGGGGCUGGAAGGAGCAGAACCGUCACGGAGCCCAGAACCAGGCCAGAACUGGGGGAGGCCCAGCUGGCUGUUUGUUUUCCUAGUCCACCCAGGUCUCUCCUCAGGCCUGAAGCUGCGAUCCACACAGGGAGUUAAAAGCAGAGCAGGACAAACGUCUUCCGUGGCUUUCUAGCCACAGCUUUGCAGACUUCCGAUUUUGUGAGGGGGAGUCCACAGCCAUCCGCCCUCCAGGCCCCUCUCUCACCCUUUCACGUCUCCAGACCCUGACGACCAACCUCUGUGGCCACGCAGGGCCACUCUGGCCCUGAAAUCAUGAAGUCCUGCUAUUCCAAAGGGAAAUCGCAUCCUCCCUUCCCAGAGUGGCCCGUGUGGAGAAGAACAGGAGGAGCCUCUGCUGUCCUCUAGGGCACAGUCCAGGACACCGUCACAUCUCAGGGGCCCAGGUGACCCAGGCUGGGGGCACCUCCUAUUCUGGAGUCAGGAUCCGCCUUGGAGAGGACCUAAUUUAGAAGCAACCCUGUCCCCAAGACAGGCAUUUGGGGCCAUCUUGAGAAGCACAACCAGAGGGGACAGUCAGGCGAGGGAGGGAAGGGACAGGUGAAGGAGGGUCUCAGAGCAGGCAGGGGAGGCUCCCCAGGAGGACAUGGCGGAGAGAUGGAGAAGGCGCUGGGAGGCAGCUCCCCCCUGGGGGGGAACUCUGGAGGACCCUGUGCCCGGCGUCACAUCUGUUUGUCACUUUUUGAGGUAGCUGUGUAUUUGCUUUGUGCGGUUUUCUGAGUCCCAUCUUUAUUUCACAGUAAAAGCUCAAAGAAACACAAGGAUAAGAAAUGAAAUCUUGGUGGAGCCAGAGAAAGGACCAGAAGACACGUCCCUCCCUGGCGGGCCACUGGAAUGUCCAUACCCAACUGUCCCCUCUAGGAAGGGCCGGCAGUGGUCUUGGCAGAAGCACUUGCUUGGUCGCUGACCCUGUUCAUUAGGAGUUGAAAUGAUUCUCUUCGGCACUGACUCCACCUGGCUUCCUGGGUUAACUGCUUUGGGCUUGAACUGGUGAAAAGUUUUCGGCGGACACAACAUCUUUGUUGGUAUGUGGUGCUGAGGAUCGAACCCGGGCCGCACACAUUCCAGGCGAGCGUGCCACCGCUUGAGCCACAUCCCCAGCCUCAAGGGCCACCGUUCUUAAAAGAAUCACCCAAGCUCUUGCAAAUGGCGGUUGAAUUCUUGUGAAGGUUCCAGAAGAGGUUUCCAAGGCAGACGUGGACAUUAUUAGAAGUGUGUCGGUUUCUCCAGCCGAGGAGCUGAGCAGACUCCCUGGCAUGGGGUUGGAGAAGUUGCUGGUGGGUGCAGAGGGCUCUGCUCUCCUGGGCAGGAGGGGAGGCCGAGAGACGGGCAUGGGAAGCCCCCACAAAGUGUCUGUGAUGCUCAGUGUGACUUGAGGCCACAACAGCAAAACCUCAGAGGGGCAGGAGAGCUGGGGGCCGCCCAGCUGCUCCCUGCUCUAGACAGCCACAGCUUUCCUUUUGUCCAUCCUCCUGGCCCUGUUUAGAUGACAGGUAUCGUUCAAUAAAAUGACAAGAAUCACAGGGUCCCUUAGUGGACACAGCCCUGGGAGGAGAUGAGGAGAGCAAAGGGAAGCCCAGCUCGGAGCUAGGAAGGCUGGAGUGGACAGAAGGCUCAGCGUGCACCGGAUGUACCGGGUCGCCAGCAGGUGGCGCUGCAUCGCUCAGGCCAAGUCUUCAAUGGGGGCGGUUGUUGGUUUUAUGGUCCUGGGUAUAAGCUUAACAGAAUUUUAAUUUUUGCUUGAAAGGUUGAAUGACAUCACAGGCAACAAACAAUGUCAGUUGUUUUUCUUGAAGAUGUUAUCUCAAAAAUAAGUUUCAACUUAUUUUUGAGAUAACAUCUUCCAAAUGACUAAUUCUAAGUUUUGGGGGUUGGGGUAUGGUGGGGAGGAUGGGUUGUACUUAACCACUGAGUCAUAUCCCUAGGCCUUUUUAUUUUUAUUUUUUUAUUUUUUUAUUUUGAGACAGGGUCUUGCUGAGUUUCUUAGGGACUCACUGAGUUGUUGAGGGUGGCCUCAAACUUGCAACCCUCCUGCCUCAGCCUCCCGGGCUGCUGGGAUUACAGGCGUGGGCGACUGUGGCAGGCCUACUGUACGUUUCUAUUGUUACCUUGGAGUGCACUCCUACCGCUUAUUUAAAAACAGUGGACUAUAACAGUGCAUCUGGCUACACGGGCAGCAGCCUCGGAUCUGCUGUCUGCUGUCUCGAUUGACCUGUGCCAUGGCGAUCUGUGUGAGGACACUCCAGGGUGUUUGCACAAUGAUGGAAUCACCUAAAUACACGUCCUGGCAUUAAGUGAGUAGGACUGCACUUCAGUAUGCAGUGGAAAUGCCUAUGCAAACUUCCCAUUUUGUCCCACAGACUCAAAAAGGCUUGUACUCAAAGUGUGACACUGAAUAAAAUCCAUAUCUUUUACAGUU